GGAGGGGACAGAGAGAGAAGAACACUGGUGUUUGCCUCCUCCGAUCGCCCGCCGGUCCCUAACCCCGCACCGUCGCCUGCGGCACGAGCUGCUGCCCCGCAGGUUGUAUCCUGACAAUCUGUCCUUAAAAAUGGGCAAACUGUGACUCCACACUCCCAGGAAUACAGCUGUGACUGCUCUGACUCCAUCACAGCCUGGAGAAUGGGAAGGGGAAAUUGCUGCCAUCGUUAAUAUCUUCAAGACGCUGAAUGACUGCCGGGACUUCGGAGGAUAUUUAGACCUAGGGUGGAGGAGUCACAGGCCUGUUCAAAGAGUUGUAUUCCAGGACUAUGAAUGUGCUGUGCUAGGGAACCAAGCUUUGUGUAUCCAAACACUCUGCAACUGGAAUGGUCUCUGCACAAUUCAUGGCAUCUUGUAAACAGCUUGAAGGA